rnacentral:rRNA from 1 species
CGGACGGGUGAGUAACGCGUGGGUAACCUACCCUGUACACACAGAUAACAUACCGAAAGGUAUGCUAAUACGGGAUAAUAUAUUUGAGAGGCAUCUCUUGAAUAUCAAAGGUGAGCCAGUACAGGAUGGACCCGCGCCUGAUUAGCUAGUUGGUAAGGUAACGGCUUACCAAGGCGACGAUCAGUAGCCGACCUGAGAGGGUGAUCGGCCACAUUGGAACUGAGACACGGUCCAA